ACUCCUACGGGUGGCUGCAGUGAGGAAUAUUGGACAAUGGGUGGAAGCCUGAUCCAGCCAUCCCGCGUGCAGGAAGACGGCCCUAUGGGUUGUAAACUGCUUUUGUAUAGGGAUAAAUCAUCUUACGAGAUAGGAUGUUGAAGGUACUAUACGAAUAAGCAUCGGCUAACUCCGUGCCAGCAGCCGCGGUAAUACGGAGGAUGCGAGCGUUAUCCGGGUUCAUUGGGUUUAAAGGGUCCGUAGGCGGGCUAAUAAGUCAGUGGUGAAAUCUCACAGCUCAACUGUGAAAUUGCCAUUGAUACUGUUAGUCUUGAGUGAGUUUGAUGUUGCUGGAAUGUGUAGUGUAGCGGUGAAAUGCAUAGAUAUUACACGGAACACCGAAUGCGAAGGCAGGUAACAAAGACUUAACUGACGCUGAUGGACGAAGGCGUGGGGAGCGAACAGGAUUAGAUACCCUGGUAGUCCACGCAGUAAACGAUGCUAACUCGUUUUCGGGGUGAAGAACUUCGGAGACCAAGCGAAAGUGAUAAGUUAGCCACCUGGGGAGUACGUUCGCAAGAAUGAAACUCAAAGGAAUUGACGGGGGCCCGCACAAGCGGUGGAGCAUGUGGUUUAAUUCGAUGAUACGCGAGGAACCUUACCAAGGCUUAAAUGCAUUUUGACGUACCCUGAAAGGGGUAUUUCUUCGGACAGGAUGCAAGGUGGUGCAUGGAUGUCGUCAGCUCGUG
rnacentral:rRNA from 1 species